CAUUGACGACAACAACAGCAACAAGAACAAACUGAUACCAGUUGAUCAGGAAGACUUCAAGCUGUACAAACAACUAAAUGACCUUAAAAAGUCUAAUUCAGAGCUGAAAACCUUACUUUCAGUAGGUGACCCAAAGGGCACUGACACGCAAACUUUCACUACAAUGGUGGCCUCAAAAGCAACCAGACAGGAAUUUAUCACUUCAGCCAUUGAAGUAGU